rnacentral:rRNA from 1 species
UACGGAGGGUGCAAGCGUUAUCCGGAUUCACUGGGUUUAAAGGGAGCGUAGGCGGGCAGGUAAGUCCGUGGUGAAAGCCCUCAGCUUAACUGAGGAACUGCCAUAGAUACUAUCUGUCUUGAAUAUCGUUGAGGUUUGCGGAAUAGGUCAUGUAGCGGUGAAAUGCUUAGAUAUGACCUGGAACACCUAUUGCGAAGGCAGCAGGCUAAACGAUUAUUGACGCUCAGGCUCGAAAGCGUGGGGAGCAAACAGU